rnacentral:rRNA from 1 species
UGAGCAACCUGCCCUUGACCCUGGAAUAACAGCUGGAAACAGCUGCUAAUACCGGAUACGACCUCCGAUGGCAUCAUCUGGAGGUGGAAAGCUCCGACGGUCAAGGAUGGGCUCGCGGCCUAUCAGCUUGUUGGUGAGGUAACGGCUCACCAAGGCUUCGACGGGUAGCCGGCCUGAGAGGGCGACCGGCCACACUGGGACUGAGACACGGCCCAGACUCCCUAGGGAGG